CAAUAUCCUUUAGAGCAGUAGGUCUCAAUCUGUGGGUCUCAGCCCCUUGAGGGAGAGGUCAAACCCAGGGGUCACCUAAGACUAUAAUGCAUGUUAGAUGUUUAUAUUAUGAUUUAUAACAGUAGCAAGUUACAAUUAUAAAGUAACAACAAAAAUAAUUUUAUGUUUGGGGGUCACAAUACCAUGGCGAACUAUAUUAGAGGGUCACAGCAGUAGGAAGGUUGAGAAUCACUUCUUUAGAGACUGGGCGUGAUGACCCAUCUAAUUACAGCACCGAGGUAUUUGGAUCUCCUUAAGUUCAAGGCCAGCUUGGUUCACAUAAUGAGUUAUAGGUCAGCCAAGCAUGUAUAGUGAGAUCCUGCCUUAAAAAUAACAACAAAAACACCACCCUUCAGGCUUAUUACUAGUUAUGCUCAUGCAAUAAGAAAUAGCAGGUGUUUGUUAAGGACAUGUGGAAGAUAUUGGGAUAUUUAAGAUAUAAAAUAUUUUUGAAAAGAUUUCUUUUUAAUUGUUAUGGGUAUGGUGUUUUGCCUGUGUAUCACAUGCAUGUCUGGUGCCCUUGGAGGCCAGAAGAGGGCAUCAGAUCCUCUGGAACUGGAGUUACAAGUGGUUGUCACCACUACAUGGGUGCUUGGGAUUAAACCUGGGGCUCUACAAGCACCCUACCAACUUCACAGACCCCCCUCUCCAACCUCUUUUGUAAGGACGCUGACCCUGUUCCUGAAGGCUCUGCUCCUGAUACUAGCACCUUGGGGAUUAGAUUUCAGCAUGGGGUGGGGGGCUGGAGAGAUGGCUCAGUGGUUAAGAUUUCAGCAUGGGAUGCUAGUCAGGACAUCAGCAUUCUGUUCACUGCCUCCCUCCUGUAGAGGCCCCGUCUCCUAGUCAUUGAGGCCAGAGUUUCAACAUUAGAAUUUAGGAGGGAGGAGGGUGUUAGGAGCAUCUUUGAGGUCCUUUGAUAAUGUUACAGAUGAGGUAACUUGAUGAGGUAACUUCUCACUGGGAAGUGGAGAUCCUGUGAGAACAGCUGAUUCCUCACUGUGAAGUCAGGAACUGUCACUGCGUAGCCAGGAGAGUCCUUUUCAGUUGUUUAUGCAUGUGUGUAUGGGUGCUGGCCGGUGACUGCAGGACCUGACCCACGCUGGCUCUGCUGUUCCUCCUUUACAGUACUGGGGACUGAGUCCACCAGCCUGGCUUUCAUCUUUACUAUAAUAGCAGGAAGAUGUGAAAGCCAUACUGACAAUACCCAUUCUCCAGUGAUGUUAGGCUUGGUAAUGCUGUAGGCUCAGUAGGAGCAAGGCAGACAGUUCCAAGUUGCGAGGAGACAUGAACAUGGGGAUCUAGCAGUUUCUUGUCCAUGAAUACCCCCUUGACUCUUCAGGAGAGUGCUGGGGUAAGUACUCAGCUUGAGUGGUUUCUUUAAAAAAUCUAUUUUGCAAAUAAAGUUAUAAAAACGUUUGCAACAAACUGUUUGAAUGUCAUAAAUACUUUAAGUUUCCUUACUUUCUAGAUAAUGAUUGUGACCAGAUGACAAUUUUGGUUGUACUUAUCGAGUUUGGAUGCUACUUUAUUUUGGUUUUUGAACUUAAGUCUCCAAUGGUUAGUCUUCAUUCACCACACUGAAAUCACACAGUUUACUUUAUUUCCCGUGGUGUUGGGCCUUGCUAGUCAAGCCCUCUACUGCUGGGCCCUAGCCCACUAGCCCUGGGGUUUCUGGGUCUUAGUUUUAUACUUGCCUCAUAAACAUAUUGUUUUUCACUUUUAAUGCUCUGCAACCAUUUAUGGAGCCUUGGACCCACGUGCUCUUUAUAGCUGUGGCAGGACUUUGUAGGACAAUGUUUGAGUCAGAGGUUUUUUGGGGGGGAGGGUAGAGGUAGUUGGCUAAUGAUUGUCUGUGUGUCCUUUCCUUUUGUCCUUUUUCUUUCCUCUUUCCUUCCCCCUUCCCCUCUCCUCUCCCUUCCAAGGUUACUGUAGCCCUCUGACUCUUAGGAAGUGAGGAUGACCUUGAAUGUCUAGUCCUCCCGAGUACUGAGGUGACAGGCUUGUGUUACCAUAGCCCAUUUUUGCUUAGGAUUGAACCCAGGGCCUCCUACAUGCUAGGCAAGAUCUCUACCAACUGAUAUACACCCUCAACCUAGUUUUCUGUAUUUCUUUUAGGUUAAACAUUUUAUUGCUAAUGGGAUCUAUUUUAGUAAUCUCUAUUUCUCCAGUAAAUGAUCCAUUUCACUUAGAUUUUUCAGAUCAGCUCGAUUAUGACUCUAAAAAGUAAUGUCACUAUUUAUUAACUGAUUUAAAAAAAACCAUUUACAACUUCAACUUUUAUUUCUAGAGGUCUUGGAAGAAGGCUUAGAUAAAAGAAAUUGCUGUGCAAUCAUGAGGCCCCAAGUCAAAUACCCAGUGUCCAUAAGCACAUAUAAAUACCAUUCACACACAUGCCCCAGUGCCCAUACAAAUACCAUGCACACUCAUGCACACACAAAUAAGUGGUGAUUUUAAAAAGCCCUUUAUUUCUAUUAUAAGAACAUUUUCCUCUGUGUGGUCACACUUGGGGAGAGCGUCGUUCUCUAGAGCGACUGUGGGCCGCCACUGGCUCCUGUCCUCUCUCCUCCACUGUUUUUCCUCUGGCUGCUCUUGUUACCCCAAAGGUUUGUGGUUGGGACUUGGUCUUUUUUUUUUUGCAUUAGUCUUUUCUUUUUCUUGACUUACAGAGAUUCUGAGGUUUGGGCCCCUCUGUCCUCCUGGGUUUCCUGGUUAUAUGGUAUUGCACCCGUGCUUUUCCUUCUUGUUUGUAUGAUUUUUGGAGGCUAUAGAGACAGAUGUAGCAGCUUCCAUUGGCCUUAGAGUUCCUGCUACUGGUGUAUUUUUAAACUUACAUGUUUUCUUAAGUUUUAUAUUACUUGGAAUGGAUUAAUAAUUUUCUAGUCUAAACUUUGAAAUAGUUGAACUUGUUUUUGUUUGUUGACAGGAUCUAUAGUGUAGCCUGGGCUAUCCUAGAACUCAGUGUGUAACCCAGGCUAGCCUGGGAUUCAUGCAGGCCAAUUGCUUGACUCUCCCUCAUGAGUGUUCAGCUGAUAGGCAUGCACCACCAUGUCUUUAACUGAACCUGAUAGACUCAGCAGACUUUUGUGGUUUUAUAAUUUAAUUCUAGGAGGUUGGAUUUUGUUUAUACUUUUUGUACUAAGUAUAUUCUUUGAGCUGCCAAAAUUCUUUUUUUUUUUUAAAAAGGGGGAACAUUUGAGGGGGGAGGAUUUAUGUAAUUGAGGAUGAUCUUGCAAUCUUCCUUUCUCUACCACAAGUGCUGGGAUUGCAGGUAUUUUCUUCUAUGCCUGUUAACAUCC
rnacentral:lncRNA from 1 species